CGCUCCGGUCGGGGAAUGUCAGAGCAGCUACAGGUGCCCCGUCACACGCGUCUACCUGUAACUACAGCGUACACGAUAAACAACCCGGUAACAGUCGCCGUUCUUUUUGCGCUUGAUAAUGACAUUCGUGGGAGAAAGUACGAUAGAUGGCAAGCGCAAAGGCGACUGCUGUCUGGCUGUUUAUUACACGCCGUGCUGUUGUUGCAAGCGUGAAGUGCACGAAGCUGGUGUAGCUUAGCCUAGCCCCGACAAGGGACGGCGCGCGGGAGCUUGCUGAUUGGCUCUUCGGAGGUCCACUUUCUCCGCGGGCCACACUAAUAUUAUACUUUCAUAGUAAGGUGCGGGCCACAAAAUAUUGUACUGCGGGCCGCGAGUCUGAGACCCCGAACAGUUUAGACUAAACUGUCAGUUAACUAGCUCAAGGUCAGGCUCAGAUUAGGGACCUCUCAACCCUCAGAGCAGUGAAUGUGGUGCUUUGUUGAACAAGGAGUAAACAUAUGCCCCAAAGGACAGGUCUCUACGCAGCUCAGCAGCAACUGAGAACACUUGAGGCCAAUAGAGCGGUGAGAUGCAGCAGGGGUCCCGGGGUAUCUGAGCUUCCAACAAGCAGAGAACCGACUGCUUCCAGUCCGAGCUCAUAGCUUGCAGUAGAAGUACAGCUCCUGUGGUCAAGAGAAGGUACGUACAGUGGGAACCACGAUGGUGAGCAUACAAGCGACCCCGGCCAGCAGCAGAGACGGUGCGCAGGUUUUUUUCCGCCCAAUUCGGUCCAUUGCAUAACAGCCAACUAGAUAAGAGGGCAGCUCCACUGCACCUGGAAGAAAGCCAAUCACAGCACAGUCAGAGGCUGGUUGACAGAACCCAAUGAGAAGACAUAGUAGCCCAAGCUGCCAAUGAACCAGAUUGCCCAAACUGUGCAGGUAGAAUGGCGUCUCAGGGAACCUCCAGCAGAAGAGGAGGAACGGUGAAGUGCAGAGGGAUAGAAUGAUCUGGUAGAUCCACCAGACCCGCACCAGGUAGCCCACCAAGGCCACAAUCAUGACUCCGACCGCAAAGGCUGCAUGCACGUGCAUGGAGGUCCAUGUGCGAACCUUGAUGCCGGUGAAUUCAGUGACGUAGACAAACACAACCACAAGCAACGUCUCCAAACACCAGCGCUCCAACCAGGACCCCGAGCAUAAACGUGGGCUGGCAGAGCUUGGCCAGCCAUUCUUUCUCACACACCAGGUCCCAGUCCGUCACGAUGCUCUGAUAGAUCUCAGUGUGGUCGUA